UACGUAGGGUGCAAGCGUUGUCCGGAAUUAUUGGGCGUAAAGGGCUCGUAGGCGGUUUGUCGCGUCGGGAGUGAAAACCAGGUGCUUAACACCUGGCUUGCUUUCGAUACGGGCAGACUAGAGGUAUUCAGGGGAGAACGGAAUUCCUGGUGUAGCGGUGAAAUGCGCAGAUAUCGGGAGGAACACCAGCGGCGAAGGCGGCACUCUGGGCUGGAACUGACGCUGAGGAGCGAAAGCGUGGGUAGCAAACAGGA
rnacentral:rRNA from 1 species